rnacentral:rRNA from 1 species
UACGGAGGUGGCAAGCGUUGCUCGUAAUCACUGGGCGUAAAGGGCGCGUAGGCGGGGAGGUAAGUCGGGUGUGAAAUCCCUCGGCCCAACCGAGGAACUGCGCCCGAGACUGCUUCUCUUGAGUCCCGGAGAGGAAGAUGGAAUUCCCGGUGUAGCGGUGAAAUGUGUAGAGAUCGGGAGGAACACCGGUGGCGAAGGCGGUCUUCUGGACGGUGACUGACGCUGAGGCGCGAAAGCGUGGGGAGCAAACGGG